UUUAUAUACGGGAAAUUAACAAACAAACACAGAGGCGUAACAGUAGUAUGGCUGGUGGUGAAAAUAUAUCUGAAAACAAAUGUUCAUACAGUGAAAAUAUUAAAUGAUGUAAAGCGAAAGAAUACAACGUUUCCACAAAAGAAGUCCUUCAGUGUUCUCCGUAGAAAUUGAAAACCUCGCACAAGAAAUGCUUAGCUUAAGACAGCAACCGACUCUGAAACCACACCCAAGUUACCCGUUGCGGCACUUUUGGUCUGCUUAAACAUGGUCUUGGAAGUCAAAGUCCGCUUACAAUGGAGAAUUUGUGAAACGUUUGUCAAAAUCUUUGUUUCAAUAUUGACACCGUCGAGGGUCCUCAGAAUUCUUUAGAGAGGCUUGUUUCAAUGAAAAUUGCAGUUUGGGGCAGACUGAGCAGUUCUGGAUCACGUGUACGGGAGAUGUGGCCUUGGUAACAUGUUUAAACAUGUUAACCAUAAAUAAUAAACUUCGUAACUUUUCGUUUUUUGCGCUACCCUGGUCCAGCUUGCUACUUUUGUCCUCUUUGGGGUACUGACAUGCAUUGCAAGUGACAUCAAUACACCUUUGUGCCUUUGUGACGAACCACUAAAUGUUGGAGUUAUCCAUGGAAGGAGACUCUCAUACACUAAGGAAGUUCAAGAGCGUAUUAAUACCAUAGUGAAAGAAGUACUUCAGGCGAAUGAAACCGUGGAAGAACCCGAAGACGUACUUGGCAGACAAAAAAACAGCAUGAUCUACUUGAUUAGAACAUUUAAAAAGUGUGGCUUUCAAAACUGUCACUUUGGUCCACAACUUGGUCGCUGUUCAGCCAGCUCCCCGAUUCCAUCCAGUGAUGUUUGCGAGGCGGAACCUAAAAAAUGUACUCCCACGUUUGGUUAUACGGUAAAAGGUGAAUUUCGAAUAAUAGUACAGGCUCCUCUUGUUGGUUUUCAACAGUGUAUCUGGGAGCACAAAUGUGGUGCAUGCGUGAACAAGGACAAGUGUACCCAAAAACGUAAAACCACCCGCCUAUUGACGUAUCAUUUGGAAAAUCAACUUUUCUAUUGUGAGGACUUCUUUAUGUGUUGUGGCUGUCCGUGCAUCUAGGAACGCAUUUUUUACAUUUUGCAUUUACUAUGUAUUAAUUUGAUAUAUUUACAAUAUACUA